AGAAGCCCCUCGCUGUCCCAUGUACCUCCCAUUCUGAGAGCAGGGAGGCACCGGCCCAGCUGCUCACGGUGAUGACUCAGCGACGUGGUGGUGGCUCCAGUGAUAUGACGGCGACGGCAGCAGAGGCGGUCCCAGGAAGGGACUGAGCUGGCCCAGCUCAGUCAGGGACUCAUUCCUCAGCUGAUCAACCAGAACAAGAGACAUAGGCCCUGUUCUGAGGACAUGGUAACUUGAAGUGCAGCCAUAUGGAG
rnacentral:lncRNA from 1 species